UCCAGGGUGGAAAAGAGCUUGAGUUGUUGGUCAAGGCCAAGCUCUUCUGCUGCCCAGCUCA
rnacentral:precursor_RNA from 1 species